UACGUAGGCAGCAAGCGUUGUUCGGAAUUACUGGGCGUAAAGCGCGCGUAGGCGGCUUUGUAAGUUAGAGGUGAAAGCCCAGGGCUUAACCCUGGAAUUGCCUUUAAGACUGCAUCGCUAGAAUCGUGGAGAGGUGAGUGGAAUUCCGAGUGUAGAGGUGAAAUUCGUAGAUAUUCGGAAGAACACCAGUGGCGAAGGCGACUCACUGGACACGUAUUGACGCUGAGGUGCGAAAGCGUGGGGAGCAACAGG
rnacentral:rRNA from 1 species